rnacentral:rRNA from 1 species
UCCUGGCUCAGGAUGAACGCUGGCGGCGUGCCUAAUACAUGCAAGUCGAGCGAACAGACAAGGAGCUUGCUCCUUUGACGUUAGCGGCGGACGGGUGAGUAACACGUGGGUAACCUACCUAUAAGACUGGGAUAACUUCGGGAAACCGGAGCUAAUACCGGAUAAUAUUUCGAACCGCAUGGUUCGAUAGUGAAAGAUGGUUUUGCUAUCACUUAUAGAUGGACCCGCGCCGUAUUAGCUAGUUGGUAAGGUAACGGCUUACCAAGGCGACGAUACGUAGCCGACCUGAGAGGGUGAUCGGCCACACUGGAACUGAGACACGGUCCAGACUCCUACGGGAGGCAGCAGUAGGGAAUCUUCCGCAAUGGGCGAAAGCCUGACGGAGCAACGCCGCGUGAGUGAUGAAGGUCUUCGGAUCGUAAAACUCUGUUAUUAGGGAAGAACAUACGUGUAAGUAACUAUGCACGUCUUGACGGUACCUAUCAGAAA